GGUCAGUAAGUGGAAAAGCUCCAGGGGACUUCUAUGAUAGACGGACAGCUAAGCCUGAAUUUUUGAGAACUGGUCCUCAGAAGACUGAAGAUGCCUACUCCAUCAGCUCUGCAGGGAAACCUACACCAAGCACUCAAGGGAAGAUAAAACUAGUAAAAGAAACCUCUGUGUUGAGACAAUCAAAAGAUAGCAAUCCUUAUGCCACUUUACCUCGUGCAAGCAGUGUGAUCUCUACUGCUGAAGGAACAACUCGAAGGACAAGCAUCCAUGAUUUUCUGAGCAAGGACAGUAGACUGCCCGUUUCAGUUGAGCCAGCACCGCCUCCUGCUGGUGGCAGCAGCACCGCAGCCUCUAAUGUGAACAAAGUACAAGAAAGCAGAAAUUCAAAAAGCAGGUCUAGGGAGCAACAAAGCUCCUAAUUCAGUGGCCCACUGCAUGACAUGUGGGCAGAGGGAGAGAAAAGUGUCCUUCAGUUUCUCAGUGUGAAGACUUUAUUUCUGAAGUAACAAGACACCUAGCAACUAUAGGAACUAUUAAAAACAGUAAGGAGAUUUUAACACAUCCCUUCGUGACUAGAGCAGGCAAGAGAUAUAAACUCCAUUCUUCCUUGAAUCAAGGAGCACUACUGGAUUCAACUGCCAAAAGUUUUAGAAGGUUUUAGGACACUGUACAGUGCACUAAGCUCUACUGAAUAAAGGACAUUCUCUCACUUAA
rnacentral:lncRNA from 1 species